CUGCAACUCGCCUGUAUGAAGUCGGAAUUGCUAGUAAUCGCGGAUCAGCAUGCCGCGGUGAAUACGUUCCCGGGCCUUGUACACACCGCCCGUCACACCAUGGGAGCCGGUAAUACCCGAAGUCAGUAGUCUAACCUUUUAGGAGGCGCUGCCGAAGGUAGGAUUGGCGACUGGGGUGAAGUCGUAACAAGGUAAC
rnacentral:rRNA from 1 species